UAUGUCCAGCUGUAUAGCCAGCUGUAUGUCCAGCUGUACGGCCAGCUGUAUGGCCAGCUGUAUGGCCAGCUGUACGUCCAGCUGUAUGGCCAGCUGUAUGGCCAGCUCCUUUGUAGUGAUGUCAGUCAGAACAAGACAGGAGUAUUACCUUCUCUCAAAGGACUAAACAACAACAACAACAAGAACAACAAGAGCAGUUAACGACUCAUUUGACACUUAAACCAGAGAUGGCAAAACAAUGGAGCAGCUGAGAACAACAACAACAACAACAACACCUUUUUACUACUACGCCAAAAGGAGCCUGUUUUCCUGAACGAGGACUCUACUAACACACAAACCAGAACCCGAGAACUGUCCAGGGAAGUAGGUUGUGGGCCGUGCCCUCUGACCCCAAAAAACAUUCGGGGUAUGCUCCGAGUCUGUUCGUUUCCCUGAAAAAAACACCACAGGCUGCGACUCCAAUGGCACCCUAUUCCCUGUAUAGUGCAUUACGCUUGAACAUGGUCAUAUCCCCUGGUUAAAAGUAGUGCACUAUAUAGGGAAUAGGGUGCCAUUUGAGCUUCAAGCCAAGAACCUUGUUUAUGAUUUCUUAUAGUGUUUUUUUUUAUAUGAUGCACAUAAUAUAUCAAUUAGUAUUUAAUGGGGGCCUCCUGGGUGGCGCUGUACCGCAGCGCCAGCUGUGCCACCAGAGACUCUGGGUUCGCGCCCAGGUAUUUAAUGGACAAUUGUGUCCUUUUAUAUGAGUUCAAGAAGUUUUGAUUUAGUUUCUGCUUUAGACUGAUGACACAGAGAGACUGAUGACACAGAGAGGUGUUUCUGCUUUAGACUGAUGACACAGAGAGGUGUGUUUCUGCUUUAGACUGAUGACACAGAGAGACUGAUGACACAGAGAGGUGUUUCUGCUUUAGACUGAUGACACAGAGAGACUGAUGACACAGAGAGGUGUGUUUCUGCUUUAGACUGAUGACACAGAGAGGUGUUUCUGCUUUAGACUGAUGACACAGAGAGACUGAUGACACAGAGAGGUGUGUUUCUGCUUUAGACUGAUGACACAGAGAGGUGUGUUUCUGCUUUAGACUGAUGACACGGAGAGACUGAUGACACAGAGAGGUGUUUCUGCUUUAGACUGAUGACACAGAGAGGGGUGUUUCUGCUUUAGACUGAUGACACAGAGAGGUGUGUUUCUGCUUUAGACUGAUGACACAGAGAGACUGAUGACACAGAGAGGUGUUUCUGCUUUAGACUGAUGACACAGAGAGGUGUGUUUCUGCUUUAGACUGAUGACACAGAGAGGUGUGUUUCUGCUUUAGACUGAUGACACAGAGAGGUGUUUCUGCUUUAGACUGAUGACACAGAGAGGUGUGUUUCUGCUUUAGACUGAUGACACAGAGAGGUGUGUUUCUGCUUUAGACUGAUGACACAGAGAGGUGUGUUUCUGCUUUAGACUGAUGACACAGAGAGAGGUGUGUUUCUGCUUUAGACUGAUGACACAGAGAGGUGUGUUUCUUCAAUUAUACUAUGGUCGUGUCCCAAAUGGCACCCUAUUCCCUACACAGUGAAAAGUGGUGCACUAUUUAAGCAAUAGGGUCCCAUUCAGGAUGCAACCUGUGUGUGUGGGACAACAGUGUUACCUGGGCAACAGUGUUACCUGGGCAACAGUAUUACCUGGGCAACAGUGUUACCUGGGCAACAGUCUUGAUUUGUUGACAUUCAGACUGUAUUAUAUUUAUCUUGAGAGAGGAGAGAGGAUGAGAAGGGAAAAGAGAUCAUUAAGAGAUUAUCCUGAACUUCCUAACAUUGUCCGGGAAGAUGAACAUAGAUUGACCUGUGACCCAGGAAGUUGAACAUAAUAAUGCUGAUCAGUGAUUGGCUGAUGAUGGAGAAAUGUGUUUUAUCGUCUGGUUGCUUUGAUGUGUGUAGGAGACAAAUACUAUGAGUCUUUUUAUUUGUGCUGUGGAAAAUACACUAAA